rnacentral:rRNA from 1 species
AUGUAUAAUGUACUACUUACCUUGGGAGCACAACUGACGGUUCCAACAGGCAAUGCAGCCCGCGGGGCAUCCCAACAUGUAAGAUUGUCACGCAGCUCCCCAGUAACCUACAAAAGUAGACCCGCACAUUAUGAGAAUUGUUAA